rnacentral:hammerhead_ribozyme from 1 species
AUCCAGCUGACGAGUCCCGAAUAGGACAAAACGCGCGUUCUUGAU